GAUGAACGCUAGCGGCAGGCUUAACACAUGCAAGUCGAGGGGUAGAGGAAGCUUGCUUCCUUGAGACCGGCGCACGGGUGCGUAACGCGUAUGCAAUCUACCUUAUACAGGGGGAUAGCCCAGAGAAAUUUGGAUUAAUACCCCAUAGUAUAAUUGAAUGGCAUCAUUUAAUUAUUAAAGUUCCAACGGUAUAAGAUGAGCAUGCGUCCCAUUAGCUAGUUGGUGUGGUAACGGCACACCAAGGCGACGAUGGGUAGGGGUCCUGAGAGGGAGAUCCCCCACACUGGUACUGAGACACGGACCAGACUCCUACGGGAGGCAGCAGUGAGGAAUAUUGGUCAAUGGGCGCAAGCCUGAACCAGCCAUGCCGCGUGCAGGAUGACGGUCCUAUGGAUUGUAAACUGCUUUUGUACAGGAAGAAACACUCCCUCGUGAGGGAGCUUGACGGUACUGUAAGAAUAAGGAUCGGCUAACUCCGUGCCAGCAGCCGCGGUAAUC
rnacentral:rRNA from 1 species